rnacentral:rRNA from 1 species
AACGAACGCUGGCGGCAUGCCUAACACAUGCAAGUCGAACGAUGCUUUCGGGCAUCGUGGCGCACGGGUGCGUAACGCGUGGGAAUCUGCCCUUGGGUUCGGAAUAACAGUGAGAAAUUGCUGCUAAUACCGGAUGAUGUCUUCGGACCAAAGAUUUAUCGUCCAGGGAUGAGCCCGCGUAGGAUUAGCUAGUUGGUGGGGUAAUGGCCUACCAAGGCGACGAUCCUUAGCUGGUCUGAGAGGAUGAUCAGCCACACUGGGACUGAGACACGGCCCAGACUCCUACGGGAGGCAGCAGUGGGGAAUAUUGGACAAUGGGCGCAAGCCUGAUCCAGCAAUGCCGCGUGAGUGAUGAAGGCCUUAGGGUUGUAAAGCUCUUUUACCCGGGAUGAUAAUGACAGUACCGGGAGAAUAAGCUCCGGCUAACUCCGUG